CUAUCGCUGUUCCGUCUUGGAAGAGAGGAAAGUCCGGGCAACGCAGGGCAUCGUGCUUCUUAACGGGAAGAUGUUCGUGAGGGCAUAGUAGCGUAACAGAAAAGAACCGUUCUAUAGUUGAAAGGCUUAAGAAUAAGGGUGAAAAGGUGAGGUAAGAGCUCACCGGUGCUGCGGGUGAUCGCAGUAGCCGUACGUCUCACGAGUUGCAAGGCCAUGUAUACCGGCGCAUUUGGUUUGCCCGACCAAUGCCGGGGGGUAGGCUGCUAGAGCUGCAGAGCAAUCUGCAGAGUAGAUAAAUGAUAGAAACCGCAAGGUACAGAACCCGGCUUACAGGUCUGCUAU
rnacentral:RNase_P_RNA from 1 species